GUGCUCACUUCAGCAGCACAUAUACUAAAAAUUGGAAUGAUACAGAAAAGAUUAGCAUGGUGGCUGAACAAGGAUGACAUGCAAAUUCAUGAAGUGUUUCAUAUUAAA